GACGUAGGGCGCGAGCGUUGUCCGGAUUUAUUGGGCGUAAAGAGCUCGUAGGCGGCUUGUUGCGUCGUCCGUGAAAACCUGGGGCUUAACUCUGGGCGUGCGGUCGAUACGGGCAUCACUAGAGUUCGGCAGGGGAGACUGGAAUUCCUGGUGUAGCGGUGAAAUGCGCAGAUAUCAGGAGGAACACCGGUGGCGAAGGCGGGUCUCUGGGCCGAUACUGACGCUGAGGAGCGAAAGCAUGGGUAGCGAACAGG
rnacentral:rRNA from 1 species